AUUGAACGCUGGCGGCAGGCCUAACACAUGCAAGUCGAACGAGUGGCGGACGGGUGAGUAAUGUCUGGGAAACUGCCCGAGGGAGGGGGAUAACUCCUGGAAACGGUAGCUAAUACCGCCAACCAUCGACUGUGCCCAGAUGGGAUUAGCUAGUAGGUGUGGUAAUGGCUCAUCUAGGCGACGAUCCCUAGCUGGUCUGAGAGGAUGACCAGCCACACUGGAACUGAGAAACGGUCCAGACUCCUACGGGAGGCAGCAGUGGGGAAUAUUGCACAAUGGGCGCAAGCCUGAUGAAGCCAGGCCGCGUGUAUGAAGAAGGCCUUCGGGUUGUAAAGUACUUUCAGCGAUGAGGCGUUACUCGCAGAAGAAGCACCGGCUAACUCCGUGCCAGCAGCCGCGGUAAUUC
rnacentral:rRNA from 1 species